UCCAAUACAGUUUGAUUUGUCAAAAGUUGAAAUGACAACAAAUUUAGUUUAACAAUCUUAAUUGUCUUUUUUUCCCCAUGAUUAUAGAAUUGAGCAGCCCUCAAAUCAGAGAUAGUUCAAAGAACUGCAAGGCUGCACCAAUCAGGCAGUAUCUACAGAUAGAAAACAGAAGUGACAGUGGAGACAUGAUGAGGCUCUUAUGCUCAGGGAGAAGAUCGGCCACUGGCCUCUCUCUUCCCCUGGGCUAUGAGAUACUUGAGGAAACUUCUGUAGCCCAGCAUACAGCGUGUGCCAAAGAAAGCUGUUUGCAAGUAAGAACUGUGGCUCAAGCACAAAGGGGCUGACCAAGAGAGACACAUUUAGAGGAAGAGAGAGAUGCAAAAACAAACAAAAUCCUACCCUGACCAUUGCCACUGGAGCACGAGCAUCCCUACCCCAACACUAUGCCUCUUGCCCCACCGCCCCAUCUUGGCCACAUCAUCUGAGCUGAUCAGCCUCCCCAUGGUUCACAAGGGUCCCAGCUCUUCUAGAUCCUUGGCCAUGACAAUACUGUUCGGGACAAUAGGGCCAGAAGAGAGAGCUCAGUGCUAACUCCAUUUCCUGAGAGGAGAGGGAGGACCGCUGGAAAUUCCCUCCUAACUGUUCUUGUGAGGAAGGGGAGGUGCUGGCAAAAAGGAAGAAGUGAAAAGAACCAUUCUCUUGGUCUAUCCUGAUCACUUGCUCACUUUGGACUCAUUGGUGAGACAGUAUUGGCCCAAAUGCCAUGGGGACACCAAACACAUUACAGAGAGCAACUGAAGUCCUCAGAACUGAAUUUGGAGGACCAGCUUCAGGACAGCUUCCCAGAACCCUUCCCAGACCUUUCCAAUGAUCUUGGCAGAAGCUGCACUGAGUCUUCACUGCAUAUGAGGUCUCGCUCAAGGAACCCCAAGGUGGAGAACCACCCAGAGCCAGGAAAAAGACCCCAGGUCAGAGUUGCUAAAUUUUCAAGGACGAGCUGACAAUCAUGCCAGGCUCAUGGGACACACAGUCUCUGUUCAAACAACUCUGUCCAUGCAGCUCCAAAGCACCCACAGACACUAUCUGAACAAGCAGGCAUGGCUGUGCCCAACACAGCUUCAUUAUAAACACAAGCAGCCAUCUGAUGGAACCCACACACACCUCUGAAGACAUGGGCCUCUUGUUACUCAAGAUUAUUAGGUUCAGCAUUGUCACGGCCCAGAAUCCUGUCUGCUCUUGUGAUUAGCACUGUUCAGUCCCAGGGAAAGGCUUCUCCACAUCAUGUACUCUAGGUUCUCCAAAUGAAAGACAGCAGAGCCUGAAUGCCUUGAAGCUUGCUG
rnacentral:lncRNA from 1 species